UGGGGAAUAUUGGACAAUGGGCGAAAGCCUGAUCCAGCCAUGCCGCGUGUGUGAAGAAGGUCUUCGGAUUGUAAAGCACUUUAAGUUGGGAGGAAGGGCAUUAACCUAAUACGUUAGUGUUUUGACGUUACCGACAGAAUAAGCACCGGCUAACUCUGUGCCAGCAGCCGCGGUAAUACAGAGGGUGCAAGCGUUAAUCGGAAUUACUGGGCGUAAAGCGCGCGUAGGUGGUUUGUUAAGUUGGAUGUGAAGUCCGCGGGCUCAACCUGGGAACUGCAUUCAAAACUGACUGACUAGAGUAUGGUAGAGGGUGGUGGAAUUUCCUGGGUAGCGGUGAAAUGCGUAGAUAUAUGAAGGAACACCAGUGGCGAAGGCGACCACCUGGACUAAUACUGACACUGAGGUGCGAAAGCGUGGUGAGCAAACA
rnacentral:rRNA from 1 species